AUUGAACGCUGGCGGCAGGCCUAACACAUGCAAGUCGAGCGAGCGGCGGACGGGUGAGUAAUGUAUGGGGACUGCCCGAUAGAGGGGGAUAAAUACUGGAAACGGUAGCUAAUACCGCAUACUAUCGGAUAACCCAUAUGGGAUUAGCUCGUCGGUGAGGUAAUGGCUCACCUAGGCGACGAUCCCUAGCUGGUCUGAGAGGAUGAUCAGCAACACGGGGACUGAGAUACGCCCCAGACUCCUACGGAGGCAGCAGUGGGGAACAUUGCACAAUGGGCGCAAGCGUGAUGCAGGCAUGCCGCGUGUAUGAAGCAGGCCCUAGGGUUGUAAAGUACUUUCAGUCGGGAGGCGUUACCGACAGAAGAAGCACCGGCGAACUCCGUGCCAGCAGCCGCGGUAAUAC
rnacentral:rRNA from 1 species